ensembl:lncRNA
GUCACAGGCUCCCUCCUCUCUGCAAGUAGUCUCAAGGCCAAAGACAGGCUGGUGGGAAAGCUCCAACCAGCAAGGCCAUAUGCUCCCCCUCCCCUACCUAAAACCCCAAAUAAAAACCCUUCCUUUUAGCUUUUCAGGGAGUUUGGGAUUUCAGCAUUAGCUGCCCUCUCUCCUUGCUCAGCACUGUGCAAUAGUUAAAUUCCUACUUUCUUCCACUACCGCCGGUGUCAGAGAUUGGCUUGCUGUGCAAUGGGUGAGCGAACUCACUUCAGGUUUGAUAUCAAUUUGGUGACCCAGAUGGGACAAUGCCCCAGGUGGACCACUUGCCUGUGGCACACCAGCCUCUGGCUAAAGGCCUCUCUUGGAAGCUGUCCUGCAGCUGCCUGAGCCCCUUUUCUCAGGGACAGCCCCAAGCAACUGGCUGCUAACCAGAUGUCAGUGGCCCAUGGCGCUUUGCUUUGGUGGUGGAAGAAACUAGGUUUAGGACUUAGGAAGACAUCUCUCAUAAGUAGCUGGUAGCUUUUGUCUUUGUCCUUGUGCUAACCUUUUCCAGCAGGACCAGCCAAAAAUAAUGGGCACCCAGCAGCCUUCUGGGUUCCAUUUGUUUUGAAGUUGCGACAUCCCGGCCAAAUUUUGAAUCCACUAUCCUCCAUGGAGACAGACACCACCAAGGACAAGCCCUGGAUUCAUUAUCUCCUCUUUGCAAAGAGAUACAGGCUGGUGCGAAAGCUGCUGACCAGCAAGGUCACGGACUCCCUCCUCUCUGUAUAACAGACUCAGAAAGUAUUGGGUAAGCUGAAUAGAGUUCCGAGAAUGCUGGGCACAUUCGCCGAACAAUCAAAACACUUCCAACAGAGAGGGAAAAAGAAAAGCAGAUCUAUUGAAAAACAUUUUCAUGACACAGAACCAUGGAAUUAAAUGACUUUCAAAGAAAGGUGUAAACCUUACAAUAAUUUCAAGUCACAUUCAGUAUGAAGCAAAGAUUUACAUGAAAGAACUUUUAGAUGUAUGAACGUUCAUAUGAGAGAAAUGUGCUCAGUGAAGGAGAGAACCCAAAAUGCUUUGCAAUAGCCUGGCCAUUGCUCGAGCAUGAUGACUUCAAAAGAAGCUACAGAAAGAAAUGGAAAGUUGGAAUAAAUACUGACCAAGCAAGGAAAGGACAGAAUAAAAAUGAGUUCCUGUGUCUAUAUAUCCAAGUCCAGAUACCAUUUCUGUAUGGAUGAUCUAGAGAUGAUAAAUUCACAGCAUGUCAAAACCUGAACUAAUCUCAAGUUUGUUACCAAAUUUUUUCUCCAGAUCUUGUUUGAUGAUAGCCCAUCUACCCAGUUACCCAAUCACAGACCUCAGAGUCAUCUUGGAAUCCUCGCUGUGUCCCAUUUUCCCCCAUCUUUUACCAAUUCUAUUGAUUUCGCUGCUAGUGUCUAGACACUCCUUUUAAUGUGUAUGUUAAUGAUAUGAAUCAGAACUUCAUCAAUCUCUUGCGUAGCUCACUGUAACAAUGUCUUAAUUGAUCUCCGUGUCCCUGGUGUUUCUCCUUUCAAUCUAUUCCCCACAUUGCUGCCAAAAUAGUCAUUCUAAAAUGCAAAUCUGAUCAUAUCGCUUCCUUGGUAAAUAUCCUCCAAAGUUUCCUGAUACCAAUUGGGAUAAAAUCCAGAUUCCUUAGCAGAACAUGAAAAGCCCUUAAUAGGGACUACCCUCCUCUCCAUCCAUUCUUUCCAUCAGUAGCCCCUGCUCAUCCUUCCAGACCCAGUUCAGGAAUUAUCUCCUCUGAAUAUUCACUCAUGAUACCCUUAUCUGAAUCAGCUUCCCUAACCACAGCACCUUGCAAUUCUUUUUGGCUUAGAACUUAUCUUAGUUUGUUGUAAUUGAGUGACCAUGUCUCUUUAUCCUACUAUUCUGCAAGAAACUUAAGGAAAGAAGCCAUUGUUCUUCAUUUCUGUAUCCCCAGCAUGGAACACUAAUACGUAGAAAGCAAUUAAAGUGUUUGAGAAAGAAAGGAAAUAGGAAAGAAAAAGAAAAUAGAAGGGAUCAACUAGAUAACUCUAGAAAAUUUUUAACGCUAAAAUGCUGUCUCUGUGAUUCCAUUUAUUUGGGCCAGACCCCCAGGUCAUACACACAUCAUCUACAGGCAGUGAGGGGUAAACUAUCAACACCAAUAAGCUAUUCUUCCAUUCUCCAACCCCAAGGGAAAGUGUUCCCUUAAACUCACCACAUAAAGACAACAAGGAUGCUUUAAGGUGAGAGAAACCUGUAGUAGUAUACAUUCUUAGGAUUACCAGGAGAAAUAGAUCCCCAAGUGGUAGACCAGGGAGCUGAUUUUUACCUCCAAAGCAACAAAGCUCAUGGAAGCAUUGUGUCACCCUCCCUUCCUGCAGCCAUCAACGCUGAGUGCCAGGGAGGUGAAGACUCUCCACACACUAGGGGGUACUCUUGGACCAGCAGUUUCCAUGCUCAUUAAGUUCUCUUUGGAUUUUGCUUCUCUUCAAAUCAAGUUAAAAUGUAUCUCCCCUUAUUCCUAGACUCUGGGAAGUAGAUUUGGUUGUGCCUUCUUCUGUAGCAUACCCAUAACUCUUCUAAAGAAUUUAUCACACUGUUAUUAUUAUUGUUAUUAGAUAAGUGUUCAGAGACAAUUCUCCAAGGGUCUCUUGCGUUUCUGCCCAUUUGAGCAAAGACGUUGACAGCUUUUGCUUCCAACUAUCUUUCCAAGGAUGUUUGUAUGGCAAACUGCCUUUGAGCAUGGAGAUAGUAUCUCCCUUCAAGGGAGAAGAAGGCAGGUUUUUCCUAACCUAUCUUGGUAAUAAAGAUAAUGUCUCCCACUGAGGUGAAGGUUAGGCAAGUUUGCUAGCAGCCUCCUUUGUGAGAUUGGGAGCUUCCAACGCUUAUGUUUCCUCAAUUGUGAUACAAACCUACUGUAGACACAUCUACCUGGGCUACUUUACAUCACCGCCAUGGAACUAGAGGAGAGGGGAGGAAUCCAGGAGAACAUGAAGUUCAUGCUGCCUGCUGUGCCGUGAGUAAUAAAGUUUUCUCUGAUCCAGGAAUCUCAUGUCUUAUGUCAGGAUCUAUGAACCUGCAGCAGACUCACUUGUUAAGCAUUUAAACAGAGCGAAAUCCCAUACCUUUUUCAAGUUCCUGCUAAUGUGCAGUGUGUUUGUGUCUGUGUGUGUGUGUGUGUGUGUGUGUGUGUUUAACCUAUUCAGCUUCUUCUGACCGUGAACUCCUUAAGAGUAAGGAUUGUAUCUAAUCCAUCCAGGGAUCUCCAAGACUUAACCUAAUUAAAAUUAAAAUAGACAUUAGCCGAAUAAAAAUGUAAUGAGAACAUGGGUAGUCAAGAAGAGGAAAAGGGGUCAGGGAAAACCUACCACAUAAUGUACAGGUCUUUUCAUCAUUUAAAUUAAUGCUGCUUUUCAUUAAGUUGAAUUAACGCUAUUGUUCUGUUAGAAAAGAUAAAUAGACUGUUAUCCAUGUAUAUUCUUUACAUGACAAUUAUGACCUUAACCCAACUCUUGCAUUGUCAUUCUAUCCUCAUAUCAUAAGUCCCCACUCACCUACCCACCAUCAACCCUAAAGUUCAAAGUAUAAAAUCAUAUUUUGCAAUAAAAGACACUGAGGGAUUCUGACUGAAAACAUACCAUAAGGAAGUAGGGGUUUAGACCUGUGUUUCAGAUGGGAAUGUUGCUUCUGGACUCCAUUUUUGGUUAACGUUGGAACCCAUCCUUGUUAGUCACUCCUGCACUGUGGGUGGAUGUGUCUGGAGAAAUGACUCUAUGUAUGUGCAUUCAAAGAGUUAAAGCAUCAUAACUAAUAAAAAUUGGGUCCUGAGUAGUUUUGUUGUGAGUCUCUUUCUUCUGAGUGUGAAACUGAGGAAAGAAAUGUCCUCCUCAUUGAGAGGAAACCUCAUAGCUGGACAAAGCAUUCAGAGAAGUGGGAGGUUCACUGGUGAUAGCAAUGGGAUCAGGAGGUGAGGCAUAAGGACCAGGAGGAACAGAAAAUGUAACUGUGAGUCUCCCGAAGCCCUUGAGGCUGCUCUCAUUGGCUUAAGGAGAUGGGGCUCCAACGAACGUGGAGGCACCUGAUGGACUGGAUAUACCUGACAGAUAAAGUUAUCCGGGUGUCAGCCUCACUGGGGUCCAGCCAAAGGUCUGAAUUUCUAUUUCUUCUAAGAUAACUGAUUCAUG